UCUACAGCUGUCGUCUCUAUGACAACCACAGACGCAUUCGGCUGACGGUCACCAGGUACCAGGGCCACUCGUUAAACCGAAACACCGGAAGUGCUGGGUUCGUGCUAAAGGUGGUGACAGCCACCCCUUACCAACACCAUUAGAAAUGUCAGUGCCUAAAACUUCGUCACUGACUGUGUGCAUGACGAGCUGCUAACCCUACAGCGGUGCACGCGGCCGUGAUGUGCUAGCCUGUGAGCUAGCAGGUAAGGUUAGCCUCCUUUGUGUUGCUGCGACGUAUCAAACGGUGACGUUUCAUUAUGCGUUGUCUCUUUAGUCUCGUGAGGAAGUCGUGAACACUGACCUGAACAUCGGUGCUAUCAGAGCACGAGGCUGCUGUUUGGCUCCUGUGGUCCGGGUUCUGGUUCUCCAUCGUCCUGCAGGUCUCCGCUGUGACUGGUGGACCGUGUUGUCCUGGACUGAGUCUGGAUUCUGGUCUCGGAGCUCUUCAGGCUGAGAUACAGGAGCGCUGCGGGAUCCCGCGACCCGGAAAUGCAACCAGAGCAGGGACAAAGCAGACGUCCAGGAGUCGUUUUUUGAAUUACUCGCCUUGGCCCCAGCUACCAGGACCGCCAAUCAGCCAGGACUCACCAAGGACAAAACCCCUCAAGAGAAGCAAGACAGGUUUCCAAUGUCAGAUAAAAGAUUCCAAAGAAAAGUGCUGAUGCAGCUUGUCGAAAUAAAAGAAGAAGUUAGAGGGAUUGCACAAAGGGUGGAACCAGACGUUGGCUGAGUCAAACUUUGUGGGAGGACUGGUUGUUUCUAUUCUCUGCACACAGUUUGCUCCUCCAGUGACAUCUGUUGAACAAACUGAAGCUCCUCUGCUGCCUCCUGCUGGCUGCUUCCUGUUACUGUCAGUCUGUUCGUCCCUCAGGACAAACUGGAGAGCUCCUCACAAAACAUUCACAUUAACACAACAGCUGCAUUUACUCCACUGCUGAACUCAAGUACAACACUCAGUCUGUCAGGUGGAGGUGGAGGAGGGGGUGGAGUCUGUCCUGCUGCCCUUCAAGACCACAGCUCACCUCCCUGAGGACAUCAGAGUGGAGCUGAACCCAUAAAGACGGUCCACGUGUAUCAGAACGGCUCUGAUCAUUCUGACCAACACUGAGUCUACACCUCAGCAAUUGAUGGAGGACAGAUGAAGAAAGGAUGAAGACAGGAGGACACUUUUUCAGCUUCUUCUUCACUCUUACUCCUACUGACUCACCCAGUCUACACACUCACUAUUGAUUGUGGAAACUCUGCUUGUGUUUUAUUCUCACACUCAACAUGUUCCACUUUUUAUCAGUUGACCAUCACCUUUUCUAAAGUGCUCACAGGUCUCUAAACAUUUGUCCAAGUGUCUCUUUGUCCUGCAGAAGGCCGUCCCUCCCUCUGAACAUCCACUUGGUGUGUCAACAAAAAACUCCUUCAUUAACGAGAACAUUGUUACCAGCAGGACGUUUCCUUCAUCACUGUUCACGUCCACACUGUCACAUGUCCAAAGACCUGUCCACAGAAAAUGGACUUGUUGGAUUUAGUUUUAUUUAGUUAUGAUUUAGUCCUUGAGACGUUUGUCUAGUAAAAUCAGUGUGGACAGACAGUCUUCAGUGGCAGGUUUGUGACUGUCAGUGAGCAGCUUGUAGCUCUGAUCACAGUCAGCAUCUUCCACUAACAGUAGAGCCAAACACACAACAGGAGCUGGACAGACAAAUGUCUCCACACAACAAGCUGAUGUCAGUGAGGAAGUGUUGUAGAAAGACUGGUGUAUCAUGUGAUGUUUGUUCCUCAAACACACACAUAGAUGUGUAGUGAUGGUGUAACCCUCCCCUCCAUGUCUCUGCUGGGACGUCCUCACAGGCAGCAUGUUGUCUCUGCGUCAUUCUGCUUCCUCCAUAGUCCAGCUGGUGACCCAGAGAUCCACAGAAUGUGAGCCUUUAUAACAGGACAAAUGAUUUUAAUGUGACCGUGGACGUCUUCAGCUGCACACAAACACACACUGAUAAAAGUCCCCUGGGGGCCCCUCCCUUUCCCUUUGGGGACAGGAGUAAUUUAUGUUUAGGGAUCGGCUGUGUACCUUUUAUACAUACCCACUUGAAAAUGAGAUGCUGCAUCUCAAGGGACUAUCCUUCAAUAAAUUCAAUUCAAUACUUGUGUACAAAAUAAUAUUAAUAAAACAACUGUGUAGA